UCUCAAUUGGACCUGAUAUCAGGCAAGAUUACCC
rnacentral:rRNA from 1 species